UGAGGAAUAUUGCGCAAUGGGGGCAACCCUGACGCAGCGACGCCGCGUGAGUGAGGAAGGCCUUCGGGUCGUAAAGCUCUGUCAAAGGGAAAGAAAUGCAUAAUGGUUAAUACCUGUUAUGUUUGACGGUAACCUUAAAGGAAGCACCGGCUAACUCCGUGCCAGCAGCCGCGGUAAUACGGAGGGUGCAAGCGUUGUUCGGAAUUACUGGGCGUAAAGGGCGCGUAGGCGGUUUGAUAAGUCAGAUGUGAAAGCCCACGGCUUAACUGUGGAAUUGCAGUUGAAACUGUCAGACUUGAGUACCGGAGGGGAAAGUGGAAUUCCCGGUGUAGAGGUGAAAUUCGUAGAUAUCGGGAGGAAUACCGGUGGCGAAGGCGACUUUCUGGCUGGAUACUGACGCUGAGGCGCGAAAGCGUGGGGAGCAAACA
rnacentral:rRNA from 1 species